CAACGUGAUGUUGGUGAUGAAUUAGUUGAAGAAUCAUCAAAAGUACAGUAAUUUAUAUCUCUAAAAGUCUUACAAAAAUGAUUAGUAUCCUUUUUUAUAAUUUUACAUUCUGUUAUCUUUUCAAGGAUAUGUCUCCUACUCCACGAUCCUCUACACUAAAUUUCAAUAUUUUGUCUGAAGAAAGUCUGGAUGUUCAAAAGGAUAAGAAGAGAGUUAGCAGAGGAAGAAAUGAGGUUAGCAUUUAAAAAAAUUUGUAUUAUCUAACCAAGUGUUUAUAAUAUUUUUUUCAAAUCUUUAAAAGUUUAUCUUUCAUGCAACUUCAGAACAAGAGAGUUAAACCAAGUGUUCAUGCUGAGGAUAAUUUUAAAACAAGAAAACAGGUUAGUAUUUGCAACAGUACUGUUUUUAAAAAUUGUCAAUUGUCUUGUUAUGAUAUUUACAAGGGAUUUUAAAAAUACUUUUAAUUGGUGUUUUUUACUAUUCUAGAUGCCGAGAAAGAGGCAGAAACAAGUUGAUAGUGCUGAUGUUGAUAUUCCAACAAGGAAAGAGGUUAGUAUCUAAUUUAUUAUGAUUUUGAAAAUUUUGUUUACAAGGUAUUUUAAACAUCUAU
rnacentral:sRNA from 1 species